CUCUACGAUAGUUUUCUCUAUGACUUUUAUAGAACCAAGUUAUUUAGGUUCAAGAACUCGAGAAUAAAGAAAAAUAGAAAUUAUCUUUUUGAAUAAAUGAAGAUGAAGAAAAAAGAAGAAACUUUGGAAUAAACUGAGCUAAAAUUACAGCGAAAGAGUCUUUUCAAGCAAGGUAAAAAGGCACCAACUCGAAAUUCUUUUCCAAUCUUCACCCUGCAAAUACAAAAACAAACUAAAAACGAGAAGAACGAAGUUCAAUCUUGCAAGAAUGAAAUCCACGAUUUACAAGAAAUUCUAUUUUGCACGUUAGAACGUUAUCAGUUUUUCUUAUCGAGAAGUUAUGAGGAAAGUAUACUUUAAAUAAGUGUUUAAAACACAAUUUUUCAUUUAAUAACAGCAAUGAUUAAGACUAUCUAUAAAACAUUCUAAUAUUAAAUUUAUUAUUAAUUAUUAUUAAAUUAUUAAAAGCAAUGUAAAAUUAAAUUUUAUGCAAUUUAUUUCAUGUGUGUUGUUAUUACUUUCAGUUGUUCUUUGCACAAAACAGUUUUGAAGAAAAUAUUUUCCAAGUUUAUAAGAAAAAUUGAAUGUUGGAUGCAUUGCUUUACUUACAUCGGUGCCCUUUGUUUCAAAAGAAGAUAAAGGUCUACUGCAAGGAUAGAAAAAGAAAAUUCAUGAAGACAUAAAGACAUUUAAAAAAUAUUUUACAGAAAUUGUUUAGGCUACUUUAAUAUGUCAUCCCU
rnacentral:lncRNA from 1 species